CUUGGUCAUUUAGAGGAAGUAAAAGUCGUAACGAGGUUUCCGUAGGUGAACCUGCGGAAGGAUCAUUACAAGUGAGGCUACCGAACGUUGGAAACAGCGGUUAGGAGCUUACACCCACCCGUGUUUACAUACUAUUGUUGCUUUGGCGGGCCGUGGCCUCCACUGCGGGCUCUGCUCGUGUGUGCCCGCCAGAGAACCAAACUCUGAAUGUUAGUGAUGUCUGAGUACUAUCUAAUAGUUAAAACUUUCAACAACGGAUCUCUUGGUUCUGGCAUCGAUGAAGAACGCAGCGAAAUGCGAUAAGUAAUGUGAAUUGCAGAAUUCAGUGAAUCAUCGAAUCUUUGAACGCACAUUGCGCCCUGUGGUAUUCCGCAGGGCAUGCCUGUUCGUGCGUCAUUUAGCCACUCACGCCUAGCGUGGUAUUGGGGCACGCGGUCUCCGCGGCCCUCAAAAUUAGUGGCGGCGCCGGUGGGCUCUAAGCGUAGUACAUACUCCCGCUAUAGAGUUCCCCCCGGUGGCUCGCCAGAACCCCCAAUUUUUUACAGGUUGACCUCGGAUCAGGUAGGGAUACCCGCUGAACUUAAGCAUAUCAAUAAGCGGAGGA
rnacentral:rRNA from 1 species